AACUCGCGGGGAGCGCGGACCCCGGCGACGACGAGACCCGCGUUAGGACGCGCAGCGCCGGCUCUUCUGGAGCCAGGAGUGCAGGCCAGACAGCCAGUUACAAGGAUCCAAUACAACGUGGGAAACAAGCUUCCGUGGAUGGGUUGCGCAGUGGCAGCCCUGUGGUGCCCGCCUCACCUGGACACACGCAGUUGCACCUGAUCCCCUGCUGGAUGAAGUCUGUGGCCACGGACUUCGUGAGGCCAAUCACAGCCGCCUUGGUGGCGCUGUACACACAUCUGUUCAUAACUCCUGAGGUGAAAGGAAGACUCAACAAUCGAAGGAACAAAACAACAGUCUCCUUGAGGAAGGGAGCACAACUGACUGUCCCCAGGAACCACUGUCCUGUUUCCUGCCAUCCCACCCUUUUUAAAAUUUGGUGUCAGGUUUUCUCCCUGAAGAGGGCCGGUUUCUGACUGUGGGAAAAUAAUAUCGUUCCUGGCACAACUCAGUCGAGACUGAGGCGUUGAGAACCUGCACUUAGGUGAUGGCAGCGGUCUUAGGUUUUCAUCAUCGGUGGGCAGAACCCUUGGGCGGAUUGCAAAAGAGAAUCAGGGGAAAGAACAACAGAACAAACACCAGACCAAGAAAUGAAGAGGCCUGUGGCCUCUCUUUGCCUUCCUGUCUUGGACAGGCUCACGGGUGUUCUUGAGUUGAGAAGGGACGCCACCUCCGCGGUAACUCUUUCAUUUGAAGCGUGCAAGUCCGUCUGCCGGACUGUGAUGUCAUUUCCAUUGGGCACUGCAGUCCCGGCUCUUGGACUUGACUUGUGUUUGGGGCCCAGAUCACUCCCCCAUAUCAGUGGUGCCAGCGCUUUGCACAAACCCGGCUGGUAAUACUGUCACACUGCAGAAGAUGUGCACUUGCCUGACCCUCCCCCUUGUGGACCGUGAGGGGCACAUAGCGUUCGAUACAUCUUUCUUGGCUAAUUGAAUGUUUAAAUAUUUCCUUCUUCCGGCUUGAUUUUCAUGUUCACAUCCAUUAGAAGGAAUACAAGGAAGGGCAAAUGAAACAAAUUUAUUUUUUACGACUGGUUUACAACGAAGGCAAAAAAGACGGACAGUAAGGAACUUAAUACCAAUUUUUUAAAAAGUGGUUUUGAAAUUAUGUGUGGGCUUUAUAAUCUCUGCUAUGCUCAUUGCAAAAACCCACAGCUCGUGAAGGUACGGGGGUCUGUGCAUCGUGAUUCCCAGAGGAAAACAGACCUACCUUUGACGCUGGAUGCCACAGACGACAUGUUGAUAAUGUUGCCAGAUUUCUGUGCAAGCAUCUGCCAAAACAAAACAAAUACAAAAAAAAAAAAAAAAAAAGCCACUCUGUAAGAUAAGAAUGCGACCUCUUUAGAAGAUUUGCAUUUACUUAUGGUUUGCAGAAGCAUCUUAUUAGCUAUUAACAUGAAGCGCUGUUAGGCAGUCUUAACAGCCUCACCCAGUCAUUACGCACUCACUGGCAGGAACAUUUCCCAGGGGGAUUACCGCCUUCCUUUGGCACAAAAGCAUCAGCAAGACCAAGAAGGAACUCUGAGCUAAAUGAAAAGUUAAUGAACAUUAAUCGUUACUUUGUAUUCCUGCUGUUGGAAAACUCUUUCUUUGUUUGACACAUGUUUGUUGAAGACGUACUAUGAUCAGAUACAGUGGGCAUGUAGGUAGGUCCGGAGGCAUGGAGACCCAUGAAUGCUUUGGGGGCAGGAGCAACACCUGAAGAGCACUCCUGCCCGAUGGGCACUACCUUCUCAUUGAAAUCAGGCUCGGAGGAUGACCAUAAACAAGGCGGGGCUGGUGGACACGGAGAGUGGUCAAGAGUUACAACAAGCGCUGGGAGGAAAUGGAAGACCACCACCAGAGAACAGAGGAAGGAAAAGCAGGACAUGCUGUGCCAUGAAAGUCAAGUAAAAAGUUUCUAAGAAGAAAGCGUCUCAACAGUCAGUGUAGAGGGAGAAGUCGCUUCUGCUUCGGUGAGUUGCUCUAGCCGCUUUCAGACCAAGAGGUGCAGGAAUGGAGAAAUGACUUUGUUGGUCAUGGGUAUCAUCACUUACGUCUAGACUAAACUGCAAGAAGAAACGAGAGGCCAGAAGAAGAGAUGAAAACACUGACCGUGAGAGAUCUGGUGCGGGAUCUGAGAGAGACACGCUGUACUAGCUACUAAAAAAAAACAAAACAAAAAACCAAACCAAAACAAAACAAAAACCCUAAACCAACAAAUAGGCUUUUUG